rnacentral:rRNA from 1 species
AAAAGUUGCAUGGUGUAGACCCGAAACCGGGUGACCUAUCCAUGGCCAGGUUGAAGCGAGAGUAAAAUCUCGUGGAGGACCGAACCACGUUGGUGUUGAAAACCAUGGAUGAGCUGUGGAUAGCGAGAAAUUCCAAUCGAACUCGGAGAUAGCUGGUUCUCCUCGAAAUAGCUUUAGGGCUAGCGUCGUGUAAUUGAGUAAUGGAGGUAGAGCACUGAAUGGGCUAGGGGCUAUAGUAGUUACCGAACCCUAUCAAACUCCGAAUGCCAUAUACUUGUAUCACGGCAGUCAGACUGCGAAUGAUAAGAUCCGUAGUCAAAGGGAAACAGCCCAGACCAUCAGCUAAGGUCCAAGUGUAAGUUAAGUGGAAAAGGAUGUGGGAUUUCUAAGACAACUAGGAUGUUGGCUUAGAAGCAGCCACUCAUUUAAAGAGUGCGUAAUAGCUCACUAGUCAAGAGAUCCUGCGCCGAAGAUGUCCGGGGCUCAAACUUACCACCGAAGCUAUGGGUGUACACUAUGUGUACGCGGUAGAGGAGCUUUCUGUAUGGGUUGAAGUCGUACCGUAAGGAGCGGUGGACUGUACAGAAGUGAGAAUGCUGGCAUAAGUAGCGAGAAAUAAGUGAGAAUCUUAUUGGCCGAAAACCUAAGGUUUCCUGGGGAAGGUUCGUCCGCCCAGGGUUAGUCGGGACCUAAGCCGAGGCCGAAAGGCGUAGGUGAUGGACAAUCGGUUGAUAUUCCGAUACCGCCUAUUUACGUUUGAGAAAUGGGGUGACGCAGUAGGAUAAGAUGUGCGCACUAUUGGAUGUGCGUCUAAGCAUUUAGGCAUGCUUGAUAGGUAAAUCCGUCGAGCUAAGCUGAGGUGUGAUGGGGAGCCAUUUAUGGCGAAGUAUCUGAUUCCACACUGCCAAGAAAAGCCUCUAUCGAGUGAAUAGGUGCCCGUACCGCAAACCGACACAGGUAGGUGAGGAGAGAAUCCUAAGGCCAUCGGAAGAAUUGCUGUUAAGGAACUCGGCAAAUUGACCCCGUAACUUCGGGAGAAGGGGUGCCUACGAAAGUAGGCCGCAGAGAAUAGGCCCAAGCAACUGUUUAGCAAAAACACAGGUCUCUGCUAAAGCGAAAGCUGAUGUAUAGGGGCUGACGCCUGCCCGGUGCUGGAAGGUUAAGGGGAACACUUAGCGUAAGCGAAGGUGUGAACUUAAGCCCCAGUAAACGGCGGCCGUAACUAUAACGGUCCUAAGGUAGCGAAAUUCCUUGUCGGGUAAGUUCCGACCCGCACGAAUGGCGUAAUGAUUUGGGCACUGUCUCAACAGCAAAUCCGGCGAAAUUGUAGUGCAAGUGAAGAUGCUUGCUACCCGCGAUUGGACGGAAAGACCCCGUAGAGCUUUACUGUAGCUUAGCAUUGAAUCUCGGUAUUGUCUGUACAGGAUAGGUGGGAGACUUGGAAGCUUGGGCGUCAGCCUGAGUGGAGUCAUCCUUGGGAUACCACCCUGACAGUACUGGGGUUCUAACCGGCGGCCAUGAAUCUGGUCACGGGACAUUGUUAGGUGGGCAGUUUGACUGGGGCGGUCGCCUCCUAAAAAGUAACGGAGGCGCCCAAAAGUUCCCUCAGCGCGGUCGGAAAUCGCGCGAAGAGUGCAAAGGCAGAAGGGAGCUUGACUGCGACACAUACAGGUGGAGCAGGGACGAAAGUCGGGCUUAGUGAUCCGGUGGUACCUCGUGGGAGGGCCAUCGCUCAACGGAUAAAAGCUACCUCGGGGAUAACAGGCUGAUCUCCCCCAAGAGUCCACAUCGACGGGGAGGUUUGGCACCUCGAUGUCGGCUCGUCGCAUCCUGGGGCUGAAGUAGGUCCCAAGGGUUGGGCUGUUCGCCCAUUAAAGCGGCACGCGAGCUGGGUUCAGAACGUCGUGAGACAGUUCGGUCCCUAUCCGUCGCGGGCGUAGGAAAUUUGAGAGGAGCUGUCCUUAGUACGAGAGGACCGGGAUGGACCAACCUCUGGUGCACCAGUUGUCACGCCAGUGGCACAGCUGGGUAGCUAUGUUGGGACUGGAUAAACGCUGAAAGCAUCUAAGCGUGAAGCCAACCUCAAGAUGAGAUUUCCCAUAGCGUAAGCUAGUAAGACUCCUGGAAGAACACCAGGUUGAUAGGUCAGAGAUGUAAGCAUGGCAACAUGUUAAGUUGACUGAUACUAAUAAGUCGAGGGCUUGACCAA